CUGCGCCAUGAGAGCCAAGGUGAGCGGUUCCUGGUAGUAAGCUUGGGAGGUAGGAGUUGGCGAGUAGUAGCGGGGAGACGAAGGCAAGUCCGCCAUACCUCCUGAACUACUGGGUUUCGAGGGUGCCCAAGAGCUGGUGGGAGAGAGAAGGUAGUUUGUGAGAGAGCUAGCGGUUAAGUGCUAUGGGUAGAGAGGGUGGGAUUAGAAAAGGGUGGAAUUCUGAUCUUAUGUUGGGAGGGUGUCCAAGUUACUGAUGUAGUUGUUACGACCAAUCUUUCAUACUUCUUGGUUAAGAAUCUGUCCGGUUCUAAAGAGUGCAUUUCAUAUCCUUGCUAAGCCUACUAAUAAGCUUCAUCCCUUUUUUUUUUUUUUUAUUUUAAUUAUCUGCUGCUUGUGAUCGGUUGCUAGUGGAGGAAGAAGCGAAUGCGCAGGCUGAAGCGCAAAAGAAGAAAGAUGAGGCAGAGGUCCAAGUAAACCGCUAGCUUGUUGCACCGUGGUGGCCACAGGAGCAGAAACAUGGAAUGCCAGACGCUGGGGAUGCUGGUACAAGUUGUGGGACUGCAUGCUACUGUCUAGAGCUUGUCUCAAUGGAUCU
rnacentral:sRNA from 1 species